rnacentral:rRNA from 1 species
GGCUGUAACUAUAACGGUCCCAAGGUAGCAAAUUUCCUUGUCGUCUAAAUAACGACUUGCAUGAAAGAUAGAACGAUUCGAUAGCUCUCUUGCAUAGAUGUGGUGGUAAAAUAUUAGGUAGUGUGAAGAUACUCUAACAACGUUAUAGGACAAAAAGACCCUGUGAACCUUUAUAGGGAUAAAAUUUAGUAGAGGUUCUAUAUUAACAUAUCGCUUCGGCUAGGAUGGAAAAAGUUUGAGAUACCAUUCAUUGAGAAUAGAAUAAGAUAAAUCAGUUAAUUAUUAAUAAUCACUUUUAUAGUGUCGUAUAUUUGUCAAAUGUUAGAUGGGCUAUUUAAUUGGGGCGAUAACCUUCUUUAAUCAAACAAAAGGUGAACAAAGCUAUUGAUACGGGCUUUGUUAAAGGACGAGUAAGUACAAAGAUAGAUCUGUGGCUUAAUGGUAUUCCUUUGUUUGAUCCAGUAUUUAAAUGGUAUCUUAGUGACCUUAAAAUUAAUUUAUCAAAUAAAAGCUACUCAAGGGAUAACAGGCUUAAUUAAAAUUAGAGCUCACAUUAAAUUUGCCAGUUUGGCACCUCGAUGUCGGCUUAUCUUUUCAAAAAUCUGUAUUAAGAUUAUUGGUGGGAGUGCUCAUCCCAUAAUAAGGUACCUGAGCUGGGUUCAAUACGAUGG